rnacentral:rRNA from 1 species
UACGAAGGGUGCAAACGUUGCUCGGAAUCAUUGGGCGUAAAGCGCACGUAGGCGGCCUCGCAAGUUGGAUGUGAAUCCCUCGGCUCAACCGAGGACGUGCAUCCAAAACUGCUUGGCUUGAGUACUGAAGAGGAUCGCGGAAUUCCCGGUGUAGAGGUGAAAUUCGUAGAUAUCGGGAGGAACACCAGUGGCGAAGGCGGCGAUCUGGGCAGAUACUGACGCUGAGACGCGAAAGCGUGGGAGCGAACAGG